CCGCUCCCGGCCCCGCGGUGCCGGCUCUCCUCCCCACAAGUGCCCAAGAUCAGCGAGAAAGGAAUGUGGAAAUGAUGGGGGCUGUGGAAAGGAGAACGAUUAAAGACCAGAGGCAACAGUGGUGACGGCAGAGGUGGGGCAGCUGCGUCCCUGUGUCCUUGCUGUCGGAGGUAGCCAAACCUGCGGAGCUGCGCGACGCGGGCCGGCUGCUUGUUCAGCUUCUCUCCCUGGAACAGGGCACUUCAGAACAAUGCCUGCUCAGAGACCUUUCUGCUAGACAGGGCUGUAGUUUAGAAGUUUAGAAGGUCUGCAGUAUUGCUGAUAUGUGAACUAGCAAUUAAGAGGUGAUAACACGUGUACUGGAAGCCAUUCUGGGAUCAUCUUCAGCAGCACAAGUACACCAAGCUGCAAUAAGGUUCUCCAAAGUGAUGUAUACAACCUCAUAUUUACCCCUGAGCAAGAACUCUCACACAAGCAGUAUCUAAUGCAAGAUUGCUGAAGUAGCAGAGAGCAGAAAAUGAAACAUAUGGCUCCAGAGAGAAGGCACUGGCUGUCAGCACAGACUUCCCCAUAAGCAACAGGAGAGCCCCUGGGGAUGCAUCUGGACUCCCAGGAGGAGACCUGGCUUCAGGCUUCCCGCUGCAGCCUGCAGGUGUAAAACCGAGAGCUGGAAGCGGCACUUCCCUCCCGCAUUUUGGGGCGGGCAGGAGGGGAGGUGGUCCAGCCGCACAAUGACAGAUUAUGCAAAUCCUGGCGGAGCACGGCAUCAAUCAGGGCGGUGGGAGAGGAACGCAGCUCAUCUCCGAAUUCGCCUCCGCCGUGGCGUCCUCGCCAAGCAUCCC